ensembl:misc_RNA
UAGGACAGGUACAGCACAGGCAGCGACAGGGCGAGCUUUCCCCUCACCACCCAGUCCAUGUGCCUCAACCCUGACCUGGAGGGACCACCUCUAGA